rnacentral:rRNA from 1 species
GGCGCAAGCSUGAUCCAGCCAUGCCGCGUGAGUGAAGAAGGCCUUCGGGUUGUAAAGCUCUUUCAGUUGGGAAGAAACGAUUACAWCUAAUAAUUGUAAUUAAUGACGGUACCGACAGAAGAAGCACCGGCUAACUACGUGCCAGCASCCGCGGUAAUACGUAGGGUGCGAGCGUUAAUCKGAAUUACUGGGCGUAAAGGGUGCGCAGGCGGUUUUGUAAGUCAGAUGUGAAAUCCCCGGGCUUAACCUGGGAAUGGCGUUUGAAACUGCAAGGCUAGAGUGUAGCAGAGGGGAGUGGAAUUCCGCGUGUAGCAGUGAAAUGYGUAGAUAUGCGGAGGAACACCGAUGGCGAAGGCAGCUCCCUGGGCUAACACUGACGCUCAUGCACGAAAGCGUGGGGAGCAAACAGGAUUAGAUACCCUGGUAGUCCACGCCCUAAACGAUGUCAACUAGUUGUCGGGCCUAAUUGAGGGUUUGGUAACGUAGCUAACGCGUGAAGUGACCGCCU